rnacentral:rRNA from 1 species
GCUAGGGGGCCAUCCCGGCUUACCAACCCGAUGCAAACUGCGAAUACCGGAGAAUGUUAUCACGGGAGACACACGGCGGGUGCUAACGUCCGUCGUGAAGAGGGAAACAACCCAGACCGCCAGCUAAGGUCCCAAAGUCAUGGUUAAGUGGGAAACGAUGUGGGAAGGCCCAGACAGCCAGGAUGUUGGCUUAGAAGCAGCCAUCAUUUAAAGAAAGCGUAAUAGCUCACUGGUCGAGUCGGCCUGCGCGGAAGAUGUAACGGGGCUAAACCAUGCACCGAAGCUGCGGCAGCGACACUCAGGUGUUGUUGGGUAGGGGAGCGUUCUGUAAGCCUGCGAAGGUGGCCUGUGAGGGUUGCUGGAGGUAUCAGAAGUGCGAAUGCUGACAUAAGUAACGAUAAAGCGGGUGAAAAGCCCGCUCGCCGGAAGACCAAGGGUUCCUGUCCAACGUUAAUCGGGGCAGGGUGAGUCGACCCCUAAGGCGAGGCCGAAAGGCGUAGUCGAUGGGAAACGGGUUAAUAUUCCCGUACUUGGUGUUACUGCGAAGGGGGGACGGAGAAGGCUAUGUUGGCCGGGCGACGGUUGUCCCGGUUUAAGCGUGUAGGUGUGUGUUCCAGGUAAAUCCGGUUCACUUUAACACUGAGGCGUGACGACGAGGCACUACGGUGCUGAAGCAACAAAUGCCCUGCUUCCAGGAAAAGCCUCUAAGCAUCAGGUAACAUCAAAUCGUACCCCAAACCGACACAGGUGGUCAGGUAGAGAAUACCAAGGCGCUUGAGAGAACUCGGGUGAAGGAACUAGGCAAAAUGGUGCCGUAACU